GUGGGGGAUAUUGCACAAUGGGGGAAACCCUGAUGCAGCGACGCCGCGUGAGUGAAGAAGUAUUUCGGUAUGUAAAGCUCUAUCAGCGGGGAAGAAAAUGACAGUACCCGAACAAGAAGCCCCGGCUAACUACGUGCCAGCAGCCGCGGUAAUACGUAGGGGGCGAGCGUUAUCCGGAUUUACUGGGUGUAAAGGGAGCGUAGACGGUUAAUCAAGUCUGAAGUGAAAGCCCGCGGCUCAACUGCGGAACUGCAACCAAAACUAUCUUUCUUGAGUGCUGGAGAGGAAAGUGGAAUUCCUAGUGUAGCGGUGAAAUGCGUAGAUAUUAGGAGGAACACCAGUGGCGAAGGCGACUUUCUGGACAGUAACUGACGUUCAUGCUCGAAAGUGUGGGUAUCAAACAGGA
rnacentral:rRNA from 1 species